rnacentral:rRNA from 1 species
UAUUGCACAAUGGGGGAAACCCUGAUGCAGCGACGCCGCGUGAGUGAGGAAGUAUUUCGGUAUGUAAAGCUCUAUCAGCAGGGAAGAAAAUGACGGUACCUGACUAAGAAGCCACGGCUAAGUACGUGCCAGCAGCCACGGUAAUACGUAGGGGGCAAGCGUUAUCCGGAUUUACUGGGUGUAAAGGGAGCGUAGACGGAAUUGCAAGUCUGAUGUGAAAAUCCUGGGCUCAACCCCGGAACUGCAUUGGAAACUGUAUUUCUAGAGUGUCGGAGAGGCAAGUGGAAUUCCUGGUGUAGCGGUGAAAUGCGUAGAUAUCAGGAGGAACACCAGUGGCGAAGGCGGCCUGCUGGGCUUUAACUGACGCUGAGGCUCGAAAGCGUGGGUAGCAA